CUCGUUUAUUUCCAGUAAGACAAUCCAUUGACUCCUUUGCACUAGGCUCUAGCCUCUAGUGAUUGGGCUGGUCAGUACUGGUCAUCAGGUGUAAUGCUCUUCUUACUGGCUGGCCAGGGACAUAGACUAAAAGACCAUUGUCGCUCCUUCCCAGCCUUAGAACUACUUCCCAGCUUUCCGGUGGUGACUUUCUCCGCAGACUGCCCUCCCAGGGCUGUUGCUUGCUCAGUACCCUCUCCACAGGGUAGGCUCAGGCUGACUUCAUUUUCCCUCUCUAGAAUCAUUGCGAUGAUGAGUCCAGAAGACAGCUGGGUCUCCAAGUGGCAGCGAGUCAGUAACUUUAAGCCGGGGGUAUAUGCUGUGUCGGUCACUGGUCGCCUGCCCCAAGGAAUUGUUCGGGAGCUGAAAAGUCGAGGAGUGGCCUACAAAUCCCGAGACACGGCAAUAAAGACCUAGCUAGGGCA